UUCAACCUGCCAUAUAACCUCACAUACACUCAUCCCUGAUGAUGAUAAUAAAGAUUAUCGAAAGCUUGGAAUCUGUGUUAUGAGAGUACAC